rnacentral:lncRNA from 1 species
GACAAACUCUCCUUCACACACCGUAACUCUUAACUCUUAACUUUUAUGCACAAAACCUUCAAACACUUAGCAAACCAACAGACAUUCUGUAUGAGCUGCUGAAAACACUUGCAGAUGAGUCAUAAAAGACGUGGCUAACUCAUGGCAAAAAUCUGAGGCCAACAUCUGUCACAAGCCAUGACUCAGCUAGCUGGCCAACUCAUCGUCGGCUGCCCAAUCACAUGCAAGACCAUGCAAUCGUUCGGGGGCCGAACUUGAACUUCGGAAGCCGAACAUUGGGCACUUUCGGC